rnacentral:rRNA from 1 species
AGGACGAACGCUGGCGGCGUGCUUAACACAUGCAAGUCGAGCGGUAAGGCCUUUCGGGGUACACGAGCGGCGAACGGGUGAGUAACACGUGGGUGAUCUGCCCUGCACUCUGGGAUAAGCCUGGGAAACUGGGUCUAAUACCGGAUAUGACCUGCUCUCGCAUGGGGGUGGGUGGAAAGAUUUAUCGGUGCAGGAUGGGCCCGCGGCCUAUCAGCUUGUUGGUGGGGUAAUGGCCUACCAAGGCGACGACGGGUAGCCGACCUGAGAGGGUGACCGGCCACACUGGGACUGAGACACGGCCCAGACUCCUACGGGAGGCAGCAGUGGGGAAUAUUGCACAAUGGGCGAAAGCCUGAUGCAGCGACGCCGCGUGAGGAUGAAGGCCUUCGGGUGUAAACCUCUUUCAGCAGGACGAAGCGCAAGUGACGGUACCUGCAGAAGAAGCACCGGCUAACGUACGUGCCAGCAGCCGC